rnacentral:rRNA from 1 species
CACCCGCAGCUCGAGUGGUGGUCACUUUUAUUGAGCCUAAAGCGUUCGUAGCCGGUCCUGUAAAUCUUCAGAUAAAUUCUCCCGCUCAACGGGAGACCCUCUGAAGAGACUGUGGGACUAGGGACUGGGUGAGGUUGAAUGUACUUCUGGGGUAGGGGUAAAAUCCUGUAAUCCUGGAAGGACAACCGGUGGCGAAGGCGUUCAACUAGAACAGAUCCGACGGUGAGGAACGAGGGCUAGGGGAGCAAACCGG